rnacentral:rRNA from 1 species
UAACAGGAUUAGAUACCCUGGUAGUCCACGCCGUAAACGAUGAGUGCUAGCCGUUGGGUCCGUAGGAUUCAGUGGCGCCGCUAACGCAUUAAGCACUCCGCCUGGGGAGUACGGUCGCAAGAUUAAAACUCAAAGGAAUUGACGGGGACCCGCACAAGCGGUGGAGCAUGUGGUUUAAUUCGAGGCAACGCGAAGAACCUUACCAGGCCUUGACAUGGGGAGUAUGAAUACCAGAAAAGGUAUUCUUCAGUUUGGCUGGCUCCCACACAGGUGCUGCAUGGCUGUCGUCAGCUCGUGUCGUGAGAUGUUGGGUUAAGUCCCGCAACGAGCGCAACCCUCAUCCUUAGUUGCCAACAGGUUAAGCUGGGAACUCUAAGGAAACUGCCGGUGAUAAGCCGGAGGAAGGUGGGGAUGACGUCAAGUCUUCAUGGCCCUUACGGCCUGGGCUACACACGUGCUACAAUGGCGGUGACAAUGGGCAGCCAACCUGCAAGGGUGCGCUAAUCCCAAAAAGCCGUCUCAGUUCGGAUUGCACUCUGCAACUCGAGUGCAUGAAGCUGGAAUCGCUAGUAAUCGUAGAUCAGCAUGCUACGGUGAAUACGUUCCCGGGUCUUGUACACACCGCCCGUCACACCAUGGAAGUUGGUUCUACCUUAAGCCAGCCCGCUAACCGCAAGGGAGCAGCUGACCACGGUAGGGUCAAUGACUGGGGUGAAGUCGUAACAAGGUA